GGGUUGUGAGGUUAAGCGACUAAGCGUACACGGUGGAUGCCCUGGCAGUCAGAGGCGAUGAAGGGCGUGCUAAUCUGCGAUAAGCGCCGGUAAGGUGAUAUGAACCGUUAUAACCGGCGAUACCCGAAUGGGGAAACCCAGUGUGACUCGUCACACUAUCAUUAACUGAAUCCAUAGGUUAAUGAGGCGAACCGGGGGAACUGAAACAUCUAAGUACCCCGAGGAAAAGAAAUCAACCGAGAUUCCCCCAGUAGCGGCGAGCGAACGGGGAGGAGCCCAGAGCCUGAAUCAGCAUGUGUGUUAGUGGAAGCGUCUGGAAAGGCGCGCGAUACAGGGUGACAGCCCCGUACACAAA
rnacentral:rRNA from 2 species